rnacentral:rRNA from 1 species
GAUGAACGCUGGCGGCGUGCCUAAUACAUGCAAGUCGAGCGAACAGACGAGGAGCUUGCUCCUCUGACGUUAGCGGCGGACGGGUGAGUAACACGUGGAUAACCUACCUAUAAGACUGGGAUAACUUCGGGAAACCGGAGCUAAUACCGGAUAAUAUAUUGAACCGCAUGGUUCAAUAGUGAAAGACGGUUUUGCUGUCACUUAUAGAUGGAUCCGCGCCGCAUUAGCUAGUUGGUAAGGUAACGGCUUACCAAGGCGACGAUGCGUAGCCGACCUGAGAGGGUGAUCGGCCACACUGGAACUGAGACACGGUCCAGACUCCUACGGGAGGCAGCAGUAGGGAAUCUUCCGCAAUGGGCGAAAGCCUGACGGAGCAACGCCGCGUGAGUGAUGAAGGUCUUCGGAUCGUAAAACUCUGUUAUUAGGGAAGAACAAAUGUGUAAGUAACUAUGCACGUCUUGACUGUACCUAAUCAGAAAGCCACGGCUAACUACAUG